ACUCCUACGGGAGGCAGCAGUAGGGGAAUCUUCCACAAUGGGCGCAAGCCUGAUGGAGCAACACCGCGUGAGUGAAGAAGGGUUUCGGCUCCGUAAAGCUCUGUUGUUAAAGAAGAACACGUAUGAGAGUAACUGUUCAUACGUUGACGGUAUUUAACCAGAAAGUCACGGCUAACUACGUGCCAGCAGGCCGCGGUAAUACGUAGGUGGCAAGCGUUAUCCGGAUUUAUUGGGCGUAAAGAGUAGUGCAGGCGGUUUUCUAAGUCUGAUGUGAAAGCCUUCGGCUUAACCGGAGAAGUGCAUCGGAAACUGGAUAACUUGAGUGCAGAAGAGGGUAGUGGAACUCCAUGUGUAGCGGUGGAAUGCGUAGAUAUAUGGAAGAACACCAGUGGCGAAGGCGGCUACCUGGUCUGGCAACUGACGCUGAGACUCGAAAGUAUGGGUAGCAAACAGGAUUAGAUACCCUGGUAGGAUAGCG
rnacentral:rRNA from 1 species